rnacentral:rRNA from 1 species
GAUGAACGCUGGCGGCGUGCCUAAUACAUGCAAGUCGAGCGAACGGACGAGAAGCUUGCUUCUCUGAUGUUAGCGGCGGACGGGUGAGUAACACGUGGAUAACCUACCUAUAAGACUGGGAUAACUUCGGGAAACCGGAGCUAAUACCGGAUAAUAUUUUGAACCGCAUGGUUCAAAAGUGAAAGACGGUCUUGCUGUCACUUAUAGAUGGAUCCGCGCUGCAUUAGCCAGUUGGUAAGGUAACGGCUUACCAAGGCAACGAUGCAUAGCCGACCUGAGAGGGUGAUCGGCCACACUGGAACUGAGACACGGUCCAGACUCCUACGGGAGGCAGCAGUAGGGAAUCUUCCGCAAUGGGCGAAAGCCUGACGGAGCAACGCCGCGUGAGUGAUGAAGGUCUUCGGAUCGUAAAACUCUGUUAUUAGGGAAGAACAUAUGUGUAAGUAACUGUGCACAUCUUGACGGUACCUAAUCAGAAAGCCACGGCUAACUACGUGCCAGCAGCCGCGGUAAUACGUAGGUGGCAAGCGUUAUCCGGAAUUAUUGGGCGUAAAGCGCGCGUAGGCGGUUUUUUAAGUCUGAUGUGAAAGCCCACGGCUCAACCGUGGAGGGUCAUUGGAAACUGGAAAACUUGAGUGCAGAAGAGGAAAGUGGAAUUCCAUGUGUAGCGGUGAAAUGCGCAGAGAUAUGGAGGAACACCAGUGGCGAAGGCGACUUUCUGGUCUGUAACUGACGCUGAUGUGCGAAAGCGUGGGGAUCAAACAGGAUUAGAUACCCUGGUAGUCCACGCCGUAAACGAUGAGUGCUAAGUGUUAGGGGGUUUCCGCCCCUUAGUGCUGCAGCUAACGCAUUAAGCACUCCGCCUGGGGAGUACGACCGCAAGGUUGAAACUCAAAGGAAUUGACGGGGACCCGCACAAGCGGUGGAGCAUGUGGUUUAAUUCGAAGCAACGCGAAGAACCUUACCAAAUCUUGACAUCCUUUGACAACUCUAGAGAUAGAGCCUUCCCCUUCGGGGGACAAAGUGACAGGUGGUGCAUGGUUGUCGUCAGCUCGUGUCGUGAGAUGUUGGGUUAAGUCCCGCAACGAGCGCAACCCUUAAGCUUAGUUGCCAUCAUUAAGUUGGGCACUCUAAGUUGACUGCCGGUGACAAACCGGAGGAAGGUGGGGAUGACGCCAAAUCAUCAUGCCCCUUAUGAUUUGGGCUACACACGUGCUACAAUGGACAAUACAAAGGGCAGCGAAACCGCGAGGUCAAGCAAAUCCCAUAAAGUUGUUCUCAGUUCGGAUUGUAGUCUGCAACUCGACUACAUGAAGCUGGAAUCGCUAGUAAUCGUAGAUCAGCAUGCUACGGUGAAUACGUUCCCGGGUCU